rnacentral:rRNA from 1 species
UACGAAGGGGGCUAGCGUUUGUUCGGAAUUACUGGGCGUAAAGCGCGCGCAGGCGGUUUUCCAAGUCAGUGGUGAAAGCCCGGAGCUCAACUCCGGAACUGCCAUUGAAACUGGCGAACUUGAGUACGAGAGAGGUGAGUGGAAUUCCCAGUGUAGAGGUGAAAUUCGUAGAUAUUGGGAAGAACACCGGUGGCGAAGGCGGCUCACUGGCUCGUAACUGACGCUCAGGCGCGACAGCGUGGGGAUCAAACAGG